GGCUGAUCCAAGUAUAGUGCGGUUUACAAUUAAUUGAUCACAGUCCAUUGUAGAUUUCUUUGCUCCUUUACUCCCACUGCUUCACUUGACUGGCCUUUA
ensembl:Y_RNA Y_RNA Y RNA